rnacentral:rRNA from 1 species
AGAGUUUGAUCCUGGCUCAGGACGAACGCUGGCGGUGUGCUUAACACAUGCAAGUCGAACGGUAAGGCCCUUUCGGGGGUACACGAGUGGCGAACGGGUGAGUAACACGUGAGUAACCUGCCCUCAUCUCUGGGAUAACAGUCGGAAACGGUUGCUAAUACUGGAUAUGAGCUUGCAAGGCAUCUUGUGGGUUGGAAAGAUAUUUUUUGGUUGGGGAUGGACUCGCGGCCUAUCAGCUUGUUGGUGAGGUAGUGGCUCACCAAGGCUUCGACGGGUAGCCGGCCUGAGAGGGCGACCGGCCACAUUGGGACUGAGAUACGGCCCAGACUCCUACGGGAGGCAGCAGUGGGGAAUAUUGCACAAUGGGCGGAAGCCUGAUGCAGCAACGCCGCGUGCGGGAUGACGGCCUUCGGGUUGUAAACCGCUUUCACCCAUGACGAAGCGCAAGUGACGGUAGUGGGGGAAGAAGUACCGGCCAACUACGUGCCAGCAGCCGCGGUGAUACGUAGGGUGCGAGCGUUGUCCGGAAUUAUUGGGCGUAAAGAGCUUGUAGGCGGUUGAUCGCGUCGAUAGUGAAAUCCCGGGGCUUAACUUCGGGCUUGCUGUCGAUACGGGUUGACUUGAGGAAGGUAGGGGAGAAUGGAACUCCCGGUGGAGCGGUGGAAUGCGCAGAUAUCGGGAAGAACACCAGUGGCGAAGGCGGUUCUCUGGACCUUUCCUGACGCUGAGAAGCGAAAGCGUGGGGAGCAAACAGGCUUAGAUACCCUGGUAGUCCACGCUGUAAACGGUGGGUACUAGGUGUGGGUCGCAUUCCACGUGAUCCGUGCCGUAGCCAACGCAUUAAGUACCCCGCCUGGGGAGUACGGCCGCAAGGCUAAAACUCAAAGGAAUUGACGGGGCCCCGCACAAGCGGCGGAGCAUGCGGAUUAAUUCGAUGCAACGCGAAGAACCUUA